UUGUUACCUGGAUACUGCCUGUACUUAUGUCAACAAAACCCCUUUCGAAAUGCAGCAUUUCAAAUGUACGAUACCCAACAUAACGUUCAUGUGUUCUUGUGGCCAUGCUGUAAGGCUCAGGCCGACGUCUAAGGGGGAGAUGCUGGUCCUGAUCUCCUGGAACAGUCUCAGACAGCAGAACUUCUGUCACCUUUACCUAUGUGGUGCAGGGACUCCUGGAAUGAAAAUGUUGUUCGUGAGGAAUGUGGUCACUGCUUCGGCCAAGAGAUACAUGCCAUGGAAAAUUCCACGCGACACAUGACAUGAGUAGGACAUCUGGCACCACUUUCCUGGGGAUGAUCAUGCUCUGUACAAGAAGGACAAGUACUCGGCAGUGCCCACCAUGUACAUGCAGCUGUUCUAUUGAUUCAGAGGGUCCUGGAAUUUAGGUCUAGCUUGCAGUCUAGCUUGUCUUCGUAGUGAUGCAAAAAGUAGCUACAUAAUCUGGCUCAAAUUGAAAUUUUCUGGCAUAAAAGCAGCAGAUGGAUAGGGCGUAAUUGCAAUCGCAAUUAUUUUCCUUUAAAAAAAAUGAUAUUGUAGCACUUGGGUAGCAAAGCAAAGUAGACUAGCUUACGCCAAUGAAUGUUCGCGGCACCCAGGCGAGUCUAUUACACACCGAAAUUCUGGUGGAGAAAAUAAAGUGAAAAUAAAGCCAACAGGCAGCUGAUUAGGUGCAGCACACAGUUGACGCAAUGGAAAUCAAUCAGUGCUGCUGGCAUGGGAGGACCGACAGUCUUUUAAUACUUCAGUAAAUAUAGCCACAGGUCCCAGCUUCUGUCUGAGUCAACUUGGGUUUCAAUGGGACACAAUACAAAGUGCAAUUCAUUAUCAUGCUGGAGAACAGCGCUGCAGUUACAGGAUUUAAAAUCACAAUUUUCUUUGGAAACCAUCGCAUUAGCUUAGUGCAUAUCUGCAGAGCAGAAUAUAUCGAUACAACUGGACAGUCUGCGUCAUUCACUGUUGUGACAUUCAUAGGUUAAUUUAGACUAGGCAAGGUGAUUUUAGAAAUGAUCGUAUCCGUGAAGAGACUACACCCACAACGAUGUUCAUGCUCCCAAGACGCCAAGAAGUGCGUGACAAUUGUUUCAAUUGCAAAGAUCAAUGUUAAUUGUGGAAGUCAUAUAAGUAUAUUGCUUCCAUACCUUUCCGUAAUAUUAGGUGUAUUAAUCACAGCAUAAAAGGCCUGGACUUGUGUGGGUCGUCAGCAUGCUGUGUGUGUGAUGGGAAGGUGGCUGGCGUAGAAUCGGUGAGUGAUUUCACCUUACGGGCCCUGAGUGAGGUCCCUGACCGCCAAGUGCCGCAGUGACUCUCUCUGCUUUCUCAAAAACCUGCGUCAUUUUGGAUAACACCGUCUGAUGUCAAGGGAAUAAGCUGUUUGGUUGGGGUCGGCACGUGGCUGGACGGUAGUAGUGCGGUUGGUGGUUGCUUUGGGCUCCCUGUAUCCUUCCUCCUGCAGCCCAAAGGGAUCUUGUAGGAGAGACAACAGAAAACAUAAAGUCCAAGGUGACCUGAACUGUCCUCAUGGGGGAACUGGAUUUGAAGUCAGCGAACAUCUACAUCUAACUGUCGGCAUUCUCGAGCUGCAGUGAAAUCUUGGUGCCAUGCACUGGACAGAGUAACCCAGGUGAAUGUGAGUUGUGGUUUGUGUCUCUUUUCUGCCUGAAAAGACUGUUUAGAAUGAAAAGCAAGUUAAUGAGACAAAAUAAGUGGUCUUUGCUAUGGAUUUCCUACCACUGUAGAUUCAAAUCAAAGUGAAUGCUACAUUUCUAGGGGUUCUUCCACAACCUUGUGGUUUAGUGUUAUUAUUAUUUAUUAUGUUAUAGGUGGCAAUGCGAAUCUUUCACCUUUUCAACAGGUCUGGUUUUCCAAUUUACUAGCUGAAAGGACACCCCACACUUGCCAGUUUGACACUCUUGUUGUGAAAUAUCAGCUGAAAGUCUCAACAAGCCCAAUGUCCACAGUGCUGAAAUGUUUUUGCAUAGCAAAUAUUACUCUCUUGAAUGUUUAGGUAACUGCUAAAUAUUUCUCAGGAACCAGACAGCUUUUCUUUUUAAGUGCUCCUUUCUGCCAUCUUAUGUUAGUGACGAAUCAAUAGAUCAAUAACGGUGUUGGCAGGCUGAUUUUCUGAAUAGUUUACAUGGUUACUAUUUGUAUUUUCCAGUAUGAGCCAAAGUUAAAUAUAACUCACACCAGUCAAGUGAUUUAACCAAAAUGUUUUAAGCCUUCAUUAAUGGGAGGUGGAGGCUCUUUUAAAAGCUUUUUUUUUUGCAUUUAUGUUGUGUGUUGUUGAGAAUAUGCAACUAAGACGACCACAGAAGGAUUUGCUUGCAAAGUUCGUGACACCAUAGCCGCGGGUGGAGACUGACAGGGGUCAGGACAGAGACAAAUUUGGCAGCACUACCUGCAGGGCACAGCGAAGGGUCUUAUGGAAGAUGCCAGAAGGAAAACUAAAAUACAGGACUCAG